AUUGAACGCUGGCGGCAGGCCUAACACAUGCAAGUCGAGCGGAUGAGAGGAGCUUGCUUCUUGAUUCAGCGGCGGACGGGUGAGUAAUGCCUAGGAAUCUGCCUGGUAGUGGGGGACAACGUUUCGAAAGGAACGCUAAUACCGCAUACGUCCUACGGGAGAAAGCAGGGGACCUUCGGGCCUUGCGCUAUCAGAUGAGCCUAGGUCGGAUUAGCUAGUUGGUGAGGUAAUGGCUCACCAAGGCGACGAUCCGUAACUGGUCUGAGAGGAUGAUCAGUCACACUGGAACUGAGACACGGUCCAGACUCCUACGGGAGGCAGCAGUGGGGAAUAUUGGACAAUGGGAGAAAGCCUGAUCCAGCCAUGCCGCGUGUGUGAAGAAGGUCUUCGGAGUGUAAAGCACUUUAAGUUGGGAGGAAGGGCAGUAAGUUAAUACCUUGCUGUUUUGACGUUACCGACAGAAUAAGCACCGGCUAACUUCGUGCCAGCCGCCGCAGUAAGAC
rnacentral:rRNA from 1 species